rnacentral:rRNA from 1 species
AUUGAACGCUGGCGGCAGGCCUAACACAUGCAAGUCGAGCGGUAGAGAGAAGCUUGCUUCUCUUGAGAGCGGCGGACGGGUGAGUAAUGCCUAGGAAUCUGCCUGGUAGUGGGGGAUAACGUUCGGAAACGGACGCUAAUACCGCAUACGUCCUACGGGAGAAAGCAGGGGACCUUCGCGCCUUGCGCUAUCAGAUGAGCCUAGGUCGGAUUAGCUAGUUGGUGGGGUAAUGGCUCACCAAGGCGACGAUCCGUAACUGGUCUGAGAGGAUGAUCAGUCACACUGGAACUGAGACACGGUCCAGACUCCUACGGGAGGCAGCAGUGGGGAAUAUUGGACAAUGGGCGAAAGCCUGAUCCAGCCAUGCCGCGUGUGUGAAGAAGGUCUUCGGAUUGUAAAGCACUUUAAGUUGGGAGGAAGGGUUGUAGAUUAAUACUCUGCAAUUUUGACGUUACCGGCAGAAUAAGCACCGGCUAACUCUGUG